UACGUAGGUGGCAAGCGUUAUCUGGAAUUAUUGGGCGUAAAGAGCGCGCAGGUGGUUGAUUAAGUCUGAUGUGAAAGCCCACGGCUUAACCGUGGAGGGUCAUUGGAAACUGGUCGACUUGAGUGCAGAAGAGGGAAGUGGAAUUCCAUGUGUAGCGGUGAAAUGCGUAGAGAUAUGGAGGAACACCAGUGGCGAAGGCGGCUUCCUGGUCUGUAACUGACACUGAGGCACGAAAGUGUGGGGAUCAAACAGGAUUAGA
rnacentral:rRNA from 1 species